ensembl:lncRNA
UUUUUUCUUUUUUUGAGACGGAGUCUCACUCUGUCAUCCAGGCUGGAGUGCAGUGGUGCGAUCUUGGCUCACCGCAAACUCCGCUUCCCAGGUUCAAGCGAUCCUCCUGCCUCAACCUACCAAGUAGCUGGGAUUACAAGCGUGGGGCCACCACGCACUUUUAAUUUGAAGAAAGAAAUUUGUGGCUAAAAAAACAUUUGCAGCAGGCGUGGUGGCUCAUGCCUAUAAUCCCAGCACUUUGGGAUGUCGAGACAGGAGGAUCGCAUGAGCCCUGGAGGUGGAGGCUGCAGUGAGCCGAGAUCAUGCCAUUGCACUCCAGCCUGGGUGACACAGCGAGACCCCAUCACACGCUCGCACACACACACACACACAAAUCCCCUGAAACAAAAAGAACCCCCAAAACCUUGGCCCAGGAAAUCCUGAAGGUCCCUCCAGUGCUGACAUUCUAAGACUCUAAAUCACCACAGCACGUCUUGGGUGUUCUUCUGGCCUGAGGGGUAACUUGAUGACUCUAAGUCAAGUGAUAUGGAAAGCUGCUCACUUUCCUGCAGUCCACUACAGGCUCCAGGCAAAGUUACGGGGAGAAAUUAGGAAGCUGCCCUUCAAAGUUACUCUUAAGGGUGUGGGUGGGGUAAUAGUCUCCAGAGUCCAGCUGCCCCCUAGUGGCCAAAGGCAUCAAGGGGUAUGGAUAGAGUGUUCCUUUGGGUCUAGAUUGGUAUCCAUUUAGGGCAACCUAUUCCAGAGCAUGGUUUUUCUCAACCAGCCUCAGAGACUGUGAGUUUGUAGGUAGGGGGAAAGGAGGAUGAACCUAAAAACCCUCUAUGGUUCUGGCCAUUAUACCUGACCAGGCUAUACUCCUUCUUCAACCCAAAAGCAGAAUGAUAGAAAAAGGCUCAGUAAAUUCUGGGCAUAACCCCAAAUUCAGAUCAGUUUGCUUAACUCCCAAGUCCUCUCAAGAAGGGGCUAUUGGUGGCUCAUCAGGUUCAUUUUCCCAUCCUGACCUGUAGUCUCAGAAGCAGAUUUCCAAACAAAUAACCACUUGCUAGUUCAACAGCACCAAGAGGGGUCUGGGAAGGUUUUAACACCUCCUCUCAUAAUUUACAUUAGUACUUACAUAUCCAUGAUAUCGACAGUUGGUGUUUUCUCAAAUUUAUGUAAUGUGCUUUUGCAAACAUAUCUUGAAAAAUCAUUCCCUAGUCCCUUCCUCCAACCAGUACCCCCUGCCACCCUUAAAAACUGUCUCUUUGGAAAUUCCGAAGCCAUUUCAGGCUUCAUGUAGCACUCAUAACUCUUUGCUUUGGCUAGCAAGGUGUUUUCAAGAUUAGGGGUAUAUCAGCCACCAAAAAUAAUAAAGUAGGAAACUCCAGGUCUACGUUCCUCCUAAAAAGAAACUAAUGAGCUAGAAAAACUAGCAGAAUCAGCUUUUGAAGGAAGCUGGAAUCUAGUCAAAAACUUACAACAAGGGGAAUACUUGGUGAAGAAAGACGUUGCUUUGUGGUAAGAGAGUGUUGCAUUUUAAAUCACACAUUUAUCAUUCCCCAUGCCCC